UACGUAGGGGGGCAAGCGUUUGUCCGGAAUCAUUGGGCGUAAAGCGCGUGUAGGCGGCCCGGUAAGUCCGCUGUGAAAGUCGGGGGCUCAACCCUCGAAUGCCGGUGGAUACUGUCGGGCUAGAGUGCGGGAGAGGCGAGUGGAAUUCCUGGUGUAGCGGUGAAAUGCGCAGAUAUCAGGAGGAACACCAAUUGCGAAGGCAGCUCGCUGGAACGUAACUGACGCUGAGACGCGAAAGCGUGGGGAGCAAACAGG
rnacentral:rRNA from 1 species